rnacentral:rRNA from 1 species
UACGAAGGGUCCAAGCGUUAUCCGGAUUUAUUGGGUUUAAAGGGUGCGUAGGCGGCUUAUUAAGUCAGUGGUGAAAGCCUGCAGCUUAACUGCAGAACUGCCAUUGAUACUGAUGAGCUUGAAUAUACUUGAGGUGGGCGGAAUGUGUCAUGUAGCGGUGAAAUGCUUAGAUAUGACACAGAGCACCGAUUGCGAAGGCAGCUCGCUAAAGUAUGAUUGACGCUGAGGCACGAAAGCGUGGGGAGCAAACAGG